rnacentral:rRNA from 1 species
GAUGAACGCUGGCGGCGUGCCUAAUACAUGCAAGUCGAGCGAACAGACGAGGAGCUUGCUCCUCUGAUGUUAGCGGCGGACGGGUGAGUAACACGUGGAUAACCUACCUAUAAGACUGGGAUAACUUCGGGAAACCGGAGCUAAUACCGGAUAACAUGUUGAACCGCAUGGUUCAACAGUGAAAGACGGUCUUGCUGUCACUUAUAGAUGGAUCCGCGCCGCAUUAGCUAGUUGGUAAGGUAACGGCUUACCAAGGCAACGAUGCGUAGCCGACCUGAGAGGGUGAUCGGCCAAACUGGAACUGAGACACGGUCCAGACUCCUACGGGAGGCAGCAGUAGGGAAUCUUCCGCAAUGGGCGAAAGCCUGACGGAGCAACGCCGCGUGAGUGAAGAAGGUCUUCGGAUCGUAAAACUCUGUUAUUAGGGAAGAACAAAUGUGUAAGUAACUAUGCACGUCUUGACGGUACCUAAUCAGAAAGCCACGGCUAACUACGUG